GUGAGUCAUCGAGUCUUUGAACGCACCUUGCGCUCCUUGGUAUUCCGAGGAGCAUGCCUGUUUGAGUGUCUUGAAGUCAUCAACCCCUCCCGUUUCUUGCGGGAAUAGGGGAUUGGAGUUGGGGGCCUGGCUGCCGUGAGGCGGCUCCCCUCAAAUGCAUCGGUUGGACCUGUGGGUCGAACUCGACUGGGCGUUGUACCAUCCUCGCUCGACCGAGAAGUUCCCCCUUUUGGUGUCCUCCCACGACUUGCCUGUGGAGCGGCGGUCAAUGUACUUUGAAAUUCUGACCUCAAAUCAGGUAGGACUACCCGCUGAACUUAAGCAUAUCAAUAAGCGGAGG
rnacentral:rRNA from 1 species